GAAUUCGCCCUUAGAGUUUGAUCCUGGCUCAGAACGAACGCUGGCGGCACGCCUAACACAUGCAAGUCGAGCGCUUCACUUCGGUGAGGAGCGGCGGACGGGUUAGUAACGCGUGGGAACAUACCCUUUUCUACGGAAUAGCCUCGGGAAACUGAGAGUAAUACCGUAUACGCCCUUCGGGGGAAAGAUUUAUCGGUGAAGGAUUGGCCCGCGUUAGAUUAGAUAGUUGGUGGGGUAAUGGCCUACCAAGUCUACGAUCUAUAGCUGGUUUGAGAGGAUGAUCAGCAACACUGGGACUGAGACACGGCCCAGACUCCUACGGGAGGCAGCAGUGGGGAAUCUUAGACAAUGGGCGCAAGCCUGAUCUAGCGAUGCCGCGUGAGUGACGAAGGCCUUAGGGUCGUAAAGCUCUUUCGCCAGGGAUGAUAAUGACAGUACCUGGUAAAGAAACCCCGGCUAACUCCGUGCCAGCAGCCGCGGUAAUAAGGGCG
rnacentral:rRNA from 1 species